CAUGGGCUAUCGGCUAUCGCCUUAUGAGAGAUGAGAUCGUGAGAAUAGGACGACUUGUGUUCCCAAACGCCUGCCACGGCUCCUUUUUCGCGCCCUCGACGGUCCUCCAGCUGCUUUCUUUGAGCCGUCAGAUGAUUCAGAAUCGGUUUUCGGAAAGGAUUUUUCGGUGUUCUAGGGUUUUUGCUCCUCAGCUUGAUCGUUAACUAGACGCAUGGACAUGGAAGCUAGCUGCCCUAAAGAGUAUUUUUGGACAGGAAGAGACUCUGCAGCAACUCCACCUGGGCACUGUUGAAAUCCAUGGUCUCCACGAGCGCUGAGAGCUGAUUGCUGAGGUCGUCGACCUCUUGAUGAAGGCUCUUGAUAUAGUUGCACGUCUCGAGUAGGAGACUUGCUGCGGAAGCCUGCAUCAAUGUGUAAGUAAGCCUCAUGCAUUCUAUUUUUGCAGUUGAUAAUUAAUUAGUACAUGUUAUUAUUACAUUACUUGCAUGAUCACGAUGUGUUUACAAUUAACUUACUCUGAUUGAGCCACGACAUCGGCGACGGUUGUCGGGGAGAAGAGAUUGGAGCUUGGAGAUGAGCUCAUUGAUAUCUUCCUCUGAGAUCCUGGACCUUCUGCUGGACAUCUUGGCAAAUGUGGAAUCCAAAGUGAUGAACUAAGCACCAGUGGGAGAACUUUAUAGGGGAGUAGAAGUCAAUUUAAAACAAACUAAUUAAGUGCAAAUGAUGAUUAAUUCUAAAACUUUAUGAUAUCCUAAUCUUUUUUUUUUUAAUAAAAAGGCAGAUUAUAGUCAUAUAUUAUCUGAUGUGGAAAGUGAAAAUCCACAUGGCGGAGAUGGAUGGUGCCACAUCAGUAGGAUCACGUGAUGUAGCAUGGCAGUACGAUGAGCCGUGGGCCAUCAACCAAUUGAAGGCGAGCAUGUGAUGUGUGUUUGGAGCCUAAGUACUACCAUAUUUAGAUUUAUCUUAGUCCACAGAUAUAUCCUUCAUGAGGUGAAAAUUGGGAUCAACUUAAAAGGGGACCUUGUUCUUGUGGUCCUACAAAUAAUUAACGAAACUGUCAGCUGGGGAGUUAAUUAUGAGUCUGCACUCACAUGGGGUUUCAGUGAUCAUCACAUUCACAGCUUCCAUGUGAGGAAGAGAGACAUGCUCUGCGGGAGUACUACAUGUAUGGACUACAUGCCUACCACCCCACAUGAAUAUAUGUGCUUUAACUCCUCAACUGCAUUUCGAAUUGCAUAUGCACAUUCUUUUUCU